CGAGGACAGAGACGACUGGGAACAACAACCCCCAAGCCGGGGCAUCUCAAGCUAAAGACGAUGAACACUAGGCAACUUAAAACAGUCUUGCCUAAAAUCACGUGAGAAAAAUGAAGUGAAAGAUUAAAACUGUUCAUGUCAAGGACUUGAAAUUGGACAUGGACUGUAGAGCUGUCCCUAUGGCAACUCACUCUCUGCCACUAUGCCAGGUUUGGACAACAGAGAACAAAGACGGACAAACAUGGUCCCUAUACCUUUAGGGUUCUGACAGA